GGAGGUAACUCAGUGGUAGAUCAUAUGCUUAUCAUGCGUAAGGCCCUGGGUUCAAUCCCCAGCACUCCU
rnacentral:tRNA from 1 species